CGGGGCGCCAGCAGCAGGCUUAGUCCAAUCAAGGCUCGUUUGUUCCUCCUGGGUUUGCCAGGGAGGCAAUACCUGCCUAACCCACUUUAGGUGUCUGACCUGUCCUUUCCGCAUUCUGGGGUCCAGACCAUGUCCUAGACGUUCCUGGUCCCCGAUUCCCUCCCGUUCAACUCCGUUCAGAUGCUCACCUGGCUGGAACACACCUAGCCCAGGCUGAGCUUGGUGGGUAGAUGGGCUCUCUGGUUUUAGCAGCUGACCUGUCUCAUCCCUCUGUCCCCAGUCUAGAGCCUCUGCACUCCCAUUGUCCUAGGUCUCGUAUUGGGCAGAGGGCUCGGCUUCUGACCCGCCCUGCUCACAGGUUCCUGGGCACCGAUUCCCACGACUCCUACUUCUCCAACGGGCAGAGGCAUCGUGUGGUGGCAGAGAUCCUGGCUCGCACAGUCUAUGGGAAGCAGGAACGAGAAGAGAUGGGCAUUGCCCAUCUGCUGGCCGAGGGAGUCUAUGCUGCAGCCUUCCCACUGCAUGAGGAUCCGAACCAGUGAACCCCGCGCCACCAAAGUGGAAUGUGCAAACUUAACUGCUGCGCCAGCAGGCUGGCCCCUCCUCCAGACUGUAUACGGCCUAUGUCCUGUCAUUCAGAUCCCAACUUAAAUGUCACCUUCUUAGAGAGGCCUUCCUUGACCCCCCCAAUCCAGAGGGGCUCCCUCUCACAGGGAUGUUUUAAUUUCAUCACAGCAUCUAUCACUAUACUUUCUUGUUUGUUUGUUUGUUGUCUGUCCUCUGCCACUAGAAUGUGAGCUCAUGAGAGCAGAAACCUUGUUUGUGAUGUUACUGUAUCCCCAGGCCCUGAGACAGUCCCUACCAUAUAGAGAGUGCUCAAUAAAUGUUUGUUGAAUGAAUC
rnacentral:lncRNA from 1 species